rnacentral:rRNA from 1 species
UACGGGGGGAGCAAGCGUUGUUCGGAUUUACUGGGCGUAAAGGGCGCGUAGGCGGCCUCCGCAAGUCAGUUGUGUAAUCUCCGAGCUUAACUCGGAAAGGUCAACUGAUACUGCGGGGCUAGAGUGCGGAAGGGGCAACUGGAAUUCUUGGUGUAGCGGUGAAAUGCGUAGAUAUCAAGAGGAACACCUGCGGCGAAGGCGGGUUGCUGGGCCGACACUGACGCUGAGGCGCGAAAGCUAGGGGAGCGAACGGG